rnacentral:lncRNA from 1 species
GAAGCAUUCUCAGAAACUUCUUUGUGAUAUUUGCAUUCAACUCACAGAGUUGAGCAUACCUUUUCAUAGAGCAGUUUUGAAACACUCUUUUUGUAGAAUCUGCAAGAGGAUAUUUGGACCGCUUUGAGACCUUCGUUGGAAAUGGGAAAAUCUUCACAUAAAAACUAGACAGAAGCAUUCUCAGAAACUUCUUUGAGUUGUUUGCAUUCAACUCACAGAGUUGAACCUUGCUUUUGAUAGAGCAGUUUUG